rnacentral:sRNA from 1 species
AGGAAAGCACAACACGACUCUUUAGUGAUUAGCGUAGGCUCUGUAAGAGCCAUUCCCCUGGGCCCAAAGACGGUUGAGUUUUGGGCCUUUUUUU